CAAGGGCCAGGUGCUGGCCUAGCAGGGCGAGUGCAGUGAGGCCAUCCCCAUCCUGAGGGCGGCCCUGAAGCUGGAACCUUCCAACAAGACGACCCAUGCAGAGCUCUUGAAGCUGGUGAAGAAACACGUGGCACAGUGGAGCACGGAGACUGCCCUGUACUGGAAAAUGCUGGGCAACCCCAGCUGGCUGCCCACCAAGUGCCCCGGUAAGGGUGCCUGGUCAGUCCCAUGGAAGUGGCUGUUUGGGGCGACUGCUGUUGCCUUAGGGGGUGUGGCGUUCUCUGUGGUCAUCGCUGCCGGAAAUUGACUGCCCAGGUGGACACCACCCCCUCUGCACACCAUGGACCCUGCCCUGUGCUCCUUAACUCCCCCAGACUCUGUCCAUUGCCCUCCCUGGUCUGGCCUCCUCCUCCUCCGGGUUGGGGGCAGCAAUGAUUGGGUGUCAUGCAGCCCAACCAGAGGAGGGACUGAGGCCCUCUAGGAGGAAAGCCUAGAGGAAGGGGGCCCUCAUUCCUUCAGACCCAGUUUCCUCCCAGCCCUCCUCCUGCUGGGCUAGGUCUCUGCUGGAGCCGGCCUCAGUUUCUCCUCAAUAGGCUUGGGGGCAGCCCCUCCUG